UACGUAGGAGGCAAGCGUUGUCCGGAUUUACUGGGUGUAAAGGGUCCGCAGGCGGGCCCGUGAGUCGGUGGUGAAAUCCUCCAGCUUAACUGGAGAGCGGCCGUCGAUACUGCGGGUCUUGAAUCAAGGAGAGGGGGACGGAAUUCCAGGUGUAGCGGUGAAAUGCUUAGAUAUCUGGAAGAACACCGGUGGCGAAGGCUGUUCUCUGGCCUUGAAUUGACGCUCAUGGACGAAAGCGUGGGGAU
rnacentral:rRNA from 1 species